AGAAACCACACACACAUGCGAAGCAGAAUUUCUUCAGUGUACUGAGUUGUGGUGACAUUAAAUGGGUUAUUCCCGCAUACCUGAUGCUUCAUAGCGUGUGUAUCAAACGUUAAAUUCUCAUAACAGAAAGAAGAGCUAGCAGUAGCAACUCAUUUUGACAUUUUCCUUUUCUGUUGUUCUCUGGUUACUGUGGAGGUAGUCUGACAGUUCAUCCACCUGCCUCAUCUGAAGCUUUCUUCGAUAGCUCGUUUUGUCUGUGGACACAUGCAGCACCAAGACUUGCCUUUUCAGGCACAAAGGUCACACUGAUGAAUUCCAGAAAUCUUUUGCCUCUUCAGUUAUUGAGCGAGUUACAAGGGUUAAAUGUAAUAUUGAAAAAAACAAUCGUCUAGUUUUUGUUUCCUCAAUCUACAUACACUGCUUCAACACACUUCCACCAGGCUGGUUCAACUCGUCCUCAAAAGCAUAUUUCUUAAGCUUCUAAAACAUACCAGAAUAUAAUAUUAAUCCUGCAAGGAAAAGGAACGCUGUGAUUUGUUUUUACAACCACAUUUGUAUAUGAGUGUGUAUGAGACCUCCUUCUGCACAUGCUCAGACUUGAGAGUCCUUGCAUACAAACCACAUCCUGAUUCACUCAAGAUAAAAGAUCUGCUGUAGGUUUGAGGAUUUUACCAAAUCAGCUCACCUGUUCAAACAGAUCACUUCAAACUCCUAGACAAACCAUGGAUUUUGAGAACAGCAUAGAAGGAUGUAAACACUGCAACAAGAAUUGCAAUAACAAUUGCCAAUGUCAUUGUCAUACAAUAACCCAAAGUCCUAAACCUAAGCAAAGGACUGAGGAGAAGACGUGUGAAGGGCCUUCAAAAGAGUGCGGCUCCUGUGAUUUCAUCCCCUGUGAUUGUGACUCCUGUGACUGCGGCUCCUGUGACUGCAGCUCCUGUGAUUAUGGCCCCUGUGAUUGUGACUCCUGUGACUGUGGCUCUUGUGACUGUGGCUCCUGUGAUUGCGACUCCUGUGAUGGUGGCGCCGGUGAUGGUGGCUCAUAUCAUUGCGGCUCCUGUCAUUGUGGCCCCUGUGAUUGUGGCCCUUGUGAUUGCGGCUCCUGUGAUUGUGGCUCCUGUGAUUGCGGCUCCUGUAUUAUUCAGUGAAUGUUUGCAGGAUGUUGGUCAGACAGACAUUGACGGCUUUUUGUACUGCUAAUUGCCAGAAGACCAGAAGAACUUGCUACCCUUGUCUGCACAGUGACAGCCACCCGCUACGGUAUAUUCAUGGCAAAUCUCUCUGCCUGCAUUUUCGUCUGGGACGAAGGAGAUGUGGCCCUGCUGAGGGAGGCGAAAAGGAGGGAGCUGGAGCAACAGCAGGGCAUCAGAGGCCACUGCUGCACACGUGAUGUGGAGGAGACAGAGCAGCCGAUCGGAUAGAUGCUGGAGGCUCUCAAGGACGCCAGGGAAACCAUGGGCAUCCCCUUGGUGGACCGGACGUCUCUCAAAGGCACCAUCUUCUCUGCAUCCAGGACCCUCCGUGAGUGCAGCUGUACACCCAGACAGGAAGUGUUACAAAGGGAGGGCUCACACUUCCUGUGUACUGCUGCGCUUGGGGGUCCACUUCCCUGGAGUCUUAACAUAACCACCUCAACCGCUUCAUCCCAGGAACAAGCGCUAACCUGGAAAAUUUCCAGUCUUGUCUGCUUGAGGGUUUGGAGUGGUGGAACGAGAACUGUGCUGCUGCUGCUGUCACACAUGAUGCUCCCUUGUCGCUGCGCUCCUACAGUGGCUCACUCCAGCUAAGCCUCUAUGAGCUCAGCCAGCGUCUUCUUGGCCGUCUUGUGCAAGACCACUCCAAGCCAGGACAGUACACAGGCGAGCUCAUAGGGGUGGAGUACCUGUGCUCGCAGCAGUCCUGGGAGCUCAGGGAGAACUUUGGGCAGGAUCCAGAUGUCCCAGACGGAAUCCCAGCGGACUUGGGAGACAUAGAAGAUGAGGGAUUUGGGAAAGAGGCAGAGGAGGAGCAAGACCAUACCAUCUUCCCUCUUUCUUUAGUAUCAACUUAGGAAGCUUUACACUUGUCUAGAGAUUCAGCGUCACCCUCUCAGUCCUCCCAGGACUUGCCACCUGAGCCCCAAGAAGAUGUGUGCAGAGGAUUUGACAGAGUGGUGGACCUGGCCAGAUACCUUGACGAGCUAAGGGAGAAGUCUUGAAUCUUGGACAAGGAAGCCGCUGACAUUGUUCGGCUGUGGGACAGACUGCCAGACAGUAACAGACAGACGGUGUUUCCAAUCCACCGAGGCACAAGGAGAGACUUUUGUAAGCGACCUCCUCCCCUGCAUCAGCACCCACUCUCUCUGCUCUGCUGGCAGGAACAUCCAUGAGCAGAACAACUCUGUGGAGGAAGAGGAAGGCAGCAGAGUUUUUUGGUCAAGAGCAAGGGUUGUCUCGUCCCCAGCAACCUGCACGUAAAGAGCACACAUACACUCGAUGUGGGCAGCCCAGAAAACAAGAGUUUGGGCACACCAGGGUGGGCAGCUUCUACUUCUGUGCCACAGCAGAGGGAAAGACACUAGAAAAGUGGCUGCAAGAGAAGAGGGAAGUCCUUCACUGUAAAUAGUUUUGUUUGAAAAUACUGUACAUAUUCUUUGCUUCUUUCUAUUAAGAAUUUUAUUUUAUUCUAUUAACGUUUAUUUGAAUUUAAUUACACAAACCUAACCAAACCACUCAAAAUCCACUCAAGAAUGCUCAAAACCAUACCUGUCAACAUUUGGAUACCGAAAUCCGGGAG
ensembl:lncRNA